GUUUCUUCAAACCUGCAAUAACAGAUUUUUGGCCACUAGGGGGCAGUGGAAACAAGGUGUUAACACAGCAUAUCACCUGUUAGCAAACAUUCCCUUGUUUACACAUCCAGCAGUUAUGGACCAAUGUUUGCUGUCAUUUGGGGGUAUAUGUCAUAUUUCAGUCCACCUGAUGAAUCUGACCUGUUUGGUGCUUCAGAAAUAAUAACAGCACUGAGAACGGCAACAGCAGUGACAAGAGCCAUUACAACGUUGUCGCAACACAACAACAGAGGACAGACAGCACUCAACUCCAGAUGGGCGCUUCCUGUGCCAGGCAGGAAAUGGCACUGAGCUCCCUCGCCAUCAUAUUUCAUUUUAACAGAGAACAGAGAUGAUCAUCACUUCAUCUUCGGCACAUCCAUCCCCCAACGGGUUAUGCCUCCAUGGGUGCCGCCAUUAUUGUGUGAUGUCAAACAACUGCCUCUCCAUGAAGCUGUGGGUGGAUGGAGGGUAAAUGGAAGAAGACCAUACAGAGCCUUGGUACAGAAGGACACAAUGAGGUGGCAGCUCCGCUUGGCUGGUCAGGCAUAGCCGGAACAGGAAGAGAGAUUACCUCCCAGAGGUUCUCUGUGGGUGUGUGUGCGCGCGUGUGUAUGAACGCAUGCAUGUGUGUGACAUCCUUUUCCAAUUAGGAACACAUUCACCUCUUUCCCACCAGGGUCAAUGGUGCAAUAUCUUGCUUCUGGAAAACUCUGUGCUAUCUCUGCUUAGUUUCUGAACAGUGGGCCAAACAACAUGGCAGGGUGCUAUUACUGUAUUUUUGAAUUCUUGGCAGAAUGUGCCCUGCCUUUCAUGGACAACCGCGUGAAUACAUAUGUAUGUACAUACAGUAACUCAGAAAGAAAAAGAAGGGUUGAACUUGACUUUUCCAUCCAUUCAUCCAUUAACUAAACCUGUUUGUCACAGGGGAGCUGAAGUUGAGCUGAUGGCUUUCCCAGCAUGCAUUGUGCGAGAGGUGGGGUACAGAUUGACAGUUGCCUGUAUAUAAUGGUGCAGUAUAAAAAUCCAUAAUGAUGUAAGAUUUUUCCCAUCCUUGUUAUAGCUGUGCACCUGCUAACUGCACCAGCUUGCCUUUGGUAACAGUAUAGUUAUCGUGGGUUAAGUUUCACACAUGUACUGAGCAAUUCUUUGGUGCACACUGAGGGUACUGUUACAAUCUUACACUGUAAAUGAACUGAAUAUAGGCCAAAAAACUAAGGGGUCCCACCCCUAAUAAUAUUUGUAUGUACUAUAAUGUAAGAGCAACUUAAAAAUGUCAAGAGGAGAAAAGAAAAUCCCAACAUAUACAAAAGUGCCCAUGGAAAGGUUAUUAUUAAAUCUGUUAAGAAUGUUUCUGUCAUGGCAACAGCUGCAUAUUAGUUUGUUUUUGCAUUUUUAUGCAACAUUUGGACUUUACUUCACUGUUUGCCUUCACUGACUACCUACCUGUUGCUGAUCAUGUUUUUGAACAUAGAUAGAUAGAUGGGAAAUUGUGUUACAGCCGCUAGAUAUAAGAACAAAGAGCAAACAAUACAGAACAACAUAUACAUGUUAUUUUAUUUGUACAUAGCAGCUACACCCUUCUUAUUCACGAUAUUAUAGUCAGUUUCAGUUCUGGAUACGUUGUAGAACACAGUAGCAGCAGACAGGAAUGACUUCCUGUGGCGCUCUGUUCUGUAUCUCAGCUUGAAGAGUCCCCUGCUGAACACACUCUUCCUGCUGGGCAGCAUG